rnacentral:tRNA from 1 species
GGAGAGGUGGCCGAGUGGCUGAAGGCGGCGGUUUGCUAAACCGUUAUAGGGUCUAACAACUCUAUCGAGGGUUCGAAUCCCUCCCUCUCCGCCA